UGGGGUAUAGCGUAGCUCAGUGGUAGCUCCUAUGCUUUGCAUGCAAAAGGCCCCAGAUUUAAUUCCUGGCAUCUCAA